UGUCUCUUACGGACUAGCCAAUGAAAUUGAUCCUUCAGUACAAAAGCUGGAAUUAGCCCAUAAGACGAGAAGACCCUGUGGAGCUUCAAAACCAAAAUCACCAAACAUGCUUCAUGGGUUUUUAGUUGGGGCGACUUUGGAGCAAAAAAAACCCUCCAAACAUAAAUCUAUUUAUUAAGACUAACACACCAAAAAAAUAUUAUAGACCCAGCAGUAUCUAUUUACUGUCUGACCAAUGAACCAAGUUACCCCAGGGAUAACAGCGCCAUCCUCUUCUAGAGUCCUUAUCGACAAGAGGGUUUACGACCUCGAUGUUGGA
rnacentral:rRNA from 1 species